UACUUUUUCAUCAACUUUUGCAUUUUAAUGUAAACAAUCAUAUUUCGUAAUAUUUUGGGUCAGAAACAUUUCAUAGUACUAUAUUAUGUCUAACUAUGUGAAAAAAAUCAAAUUGGAGUACGUUGUGCACUUGAUUAUAUGAGUUUGUUAGAAAAACCACUUUCCUUUGCUCCUAGCGCCUUCUCGUUCGCUGUAUAGCGUUUUGAGCGGAUAAAGAGCACAAGUGUGUAAGGAGACACAGAAUGAAUGGGAACUAGUUUUGUAAUUGAACUUUUGAUGAAAAGUCACUUUCUAGACAUAAAAUGUCACUUUUUUCACCUUAUCAUACUUUUUCAUCAACUUUUGCAUUUUAAUGUAAACAAUCAUAUUUCGUAAUAUUUUGGGUCAGAAACAUUUCUUAGUACUAUAUUAUGUCUAACUAUGUGAAAAAAAUCAAAUUGGAGUACGUUGUGCACUUGAUUAUAUGAGUUUGUUAGAAAAACCACUUUCCUUUGCUCCUAGCGCCUUCUCGUUCGCUGUAUAGCGUUUUGAGCGGAUAAAGAGCACAAGUGUGUAAGGGGACACAGAAUGAAUGGGAACUAGUUUUGUUAUUGUACUUUUGAUGAAAAGUCACUUUCUAGACAUAAAAUGUCACUUUUUUCACCUUAUCAUUCUUUUUCAUCAACUUUUGCAUUUUAAUGUAAACAAUCAUAUUUCGUAAUAUUUUGGGUCAGAAACAUUUCAUAGUACUAUAUUAUGUCUAACUAUGUGAAAAAAAUCAAAUUGGAGUAGGUCGGGCAAUUGAUUAUAUGAGUUUGUUAGUAAAACCACUUUCCUUUGCUCCUAGCGCCUUCUCAAGCGCUGUAUAGCGUUUUGAGCGUAUAAAGAGCUCAAGUGUGUAUGGGGACAAGAGAUAUGUGGGAACCAGUUUUGUUAUUGUACUUUUGAUGAAAGGUGACUUUCUAGACAUAAAUUGUCACUUUUUUCCCCUUAUCAUACUUUAUCAUCAACUUUUACAUUUUAAUGUAAACAAUCAUAUUUCGUAUUAUUUUAGGUCAGAAAAAUUUCAUAGUACUAUAUUAUGUCUAAAUAUGUGAAAAAUAUCAUAUUGCAGUAGGUCGGGCAAUUGAUUAUAUGAGUUUGUUAGAAAAACCACUUUCCUUUGCUCCUACCGC
ensembl:lncRNA